ACCAGCUGGGCUGCGCGUGUUUUAUUAACCUAGCAUGGAGAGAAAUAGAUUUAAGCAUAGUUGGAAAUCGAAUUAAAACUAAGUUAUAAAGGGUUAAGUGAUUUUUCCGUGACCUAAACCUAAGCCUUUUCCUCUCUUUUUCUUUCCCGACGGCGCGAUUCUCCUCUCGGGCGAAAACCACAGCCAAGGCGAGGGUUCCUCCUCUCGGCGUCGGCGAGGCGUUUUCCGGCCGGUCUCCACCCGUGGGUGACCUUUCCGGCAAGGAAAGCUUGGGGAACACAAGGAAAAGGGAGAAACCGAAGCUCUACCGAAAACCUAGGGCCCUCCUCGUGUUGUAAGUCCAAGAACCACCGCGAUACAGAUAAGAGUAAAGGAAAAGCUAAAGUGUUAUAGAGGAAGGCGACAAGGAGAUGUUGGUGGUGUGUGUGUGAUGCCGGAUAUGGAAGCUUGGGACCUUACUAGAAGAGUUUAGAAAUUGUAUUUGCUGGUGUUUAUGUUACUGUUAGAGUAGAAUUUAUUUUGCAUUACUAAUUUCGUUAUCUUCCUGUCAUUUAGUUGGAAUAACUGUUAAGCUGAGAACAUGUUCCUUUUUCCUUAUUCUGGCUUAGUUUUCAAGUUUUGUGAAGUAAGAUCAUAUCUGAUUGGAGUUUGAUUUUUUU